GUUUGCUCAAGACACGUAAGGAAUAGCAGUGAAACCAAAGAACAGCGGAGCCAGAGGGCAAACUCCUCACAGUGCUCAUUUAGGGAGUCACUGUCUUAUCCUGGUUGAGGAGUGCAAGGUCAGAGGGAAACGCAGGGUGCCAACCAGACGCAGGUCUGAUAAGGAUGAGACACACCAAGCACCAUGCAACACUCACGCUUUGUUCCUCAUGUUUGCCUUAAUGUCAGCAGACCACACGUUGCAUGUGAUUGGAUCUCGUAUUGCGGCGGGAGGACCUGCUCCUCCUCCACGACAGC
ensembl:lncRNA